rnacentral:rRNA from 1 species
UACGUAGGGUCCAAGCGUUAUCCGGAUUGACUGGGCGUAAAGGGCGCGUAGGCGGUUUGUACAGUCAGACGUGAAAUUCCUGGGCUCAACCUGGGGGCUGCGUUUGAUACGUGCGGACUUGAGUUCGGAAGAGGGUCGUGGAAUUCCCAGUGUAGAGGUGAAAUUCGUAGAUAUUGGGAAGAACACCGGUGGCGAAGGCGGCGACCUGGUCCGAUACUGACGCUGAGGCGCGAAAGCGUGGGGAGCAAACAGG